rnacentral:rRNA from 1 species
CAGGCGUCGACGGGUAGCCGGCCUGAGAGGGCGACCGGCCACACUGGGACUGAGACACGGCCCAGACUCCUACGGGAGGCAGCAGUGGGGAAUAUUGCGCAAUGGACGAAAGUCUGACGCAGCAACGCCGCGUGAGGGAUGACGGCCUUCGGGUUGUAAACCUCUUUCAGCAGGGACGAAGCGAGAGUGACGGUACCUGCAGAAGAAGGACCGGCCAACUACGUGCCAGCAGCCGCGGUAAUACGUAGGGUCCGAGCGUUGUCCGGAAUUAUUGGGCGUAAAGGGCUCGUAGGCGGUUCGUCACGUCGGGAGUGAAAACUCGGGGCUUAACCCCGAGCCUGCUUCCGAUACGGGCAGACUAGAGGUAGGCAGGGGAGAGCGGAACUCCUGGUGUAGCGGUGGAAUGCGCAGAUAUCAGGAAGAACACCGGUGGCGAAGGCGGCUCUCUGGGCCUUACCUGACGCUGAGGAGCGAAAGCGUGGGUAGCGAACAGGAUUAGAUACCCUGGUAGUCCACGCCGUAAACGUUGGGCGCUAGGUGUGGGGGACAUUCCACGUCCUCCGUGCCGCAGCUAACGCAUUAAGCGCCCC